rnacentral:rRNA from 1 species
UACGGGGGGGGCAAGCGUUGUUCGGAAUUACUGGGCGUAAAGGACUCGUAGGCGGCCAACUAAGUCAGACGUGAAAUCCCUCGGCUUAACCGGGGAACUGCGUCUGAUACUGGAUGGCUUGAGUUUGGGAGAGGGAUGCGGAAUUCCAGGUGUAGCGGUGAAAUGCGUAGAUAUCGGGAGGAACACCGGUGGCGAAGGCGGCGACCUGGGUAGAUACUGACGCUGAGGCGCGAAAGCGUGGGGAGCAAACAGG